rnacentral:rRNA from 1 species
UACCCGCAGCACAAGUGGUGGUCAUUAUUAUUGGGCCUAAAGCGUCCGUAGCUGGCUUGUUAGAUGCCUGGGUAAAUCGAUGCGCUCAACGCAUCGAAUUCCGGGUAGACCGGCAAGCUUGGGACCGGGAGAGGCGUGAGCUAUUCGAGGGGUAGGGGUAAAAUCCUGUAAUCCUUCGGGGAGGACCAGUGGCGAAGGCGUCACGCUAGAACGGCUCCGACAGUGAGGGACGAAGCCCUGGGGCGCAAACCGG